GAUGAACGCUGACAGAAUGCUUAACACAUCAGCAAUUGAUUGGUGGCGGACGGGUGAGUAACGCGUAAAGAACUUGCCUCACAGCUAGGGACAACAUUAGGAAACGAAUGCUAAUAAAUAAUACUGUGAGAGAGCUUUGCGUCCCAUUAGCUAGUUGGAGAGGUAACGGCUCACCAAGGCGAUGAUGGGUAGCCGGCCUGAGAGGGUGAUCGGCCACAAGGGGACUGAGACACGGCCCGUACUCCUACGGGAGGCAGGAGUGCGGAAUUUUGGACAAUGGACCAAAGUCUGAUCCAGCAAUUCUGGGUGCAAGAUGAAGUUUUCGGAAUGUAAAGUGCUUUCAGUUGGGAAGCGGUACCAACAGAAGAAGUGACGGCUAACUACGUGCCAGCAGCCGCGGUAAUUC
rnacentral:rRNA from 1 species